UUUCGAUCUCUCACUUGCCGAUUUAAAUUUCGAUUUCCACUGUUUACGUAAUUGUUUAGGUCCUUCAGUUCGAUUUCGAAAUUUCGAUCUCUCCAAUUUCGAUUUCGAUUUAGAGUUUGCACUGUUUCUCACCAAUUUCGAUUUCGAUUUCCAUUUAUUCAUUUCGAUUUCGAAUUCAACAAUUUCAAUUUCUGUUGUUUAGUGAUCUCAAAGGAAUCGUGUCGGCGCUGCACCUGAUAAGAGAUAAAGCACAGAAGGGCGGUCAGAAGAAGAACGAAUAGACUUUCCAGUGUUUCCUCUGAGAUCAAGUCUACGAUUGAGGGAUUGAGGACAAAAUUUGAGAAGGAAAGGUAGAUUUGAAAAUCAGUUUAGAAUGUGCUAGCAUUUAAGCGCUUAUGUAUAAUUGAUUCUUUGUUUUGAUUUACUGAAAGAGUGUGUUGUUGUUUCAUUGUUAGACAAACUUUUGCUAAGAGUUCCAAAGAGGUUUGUAAAUGACAAAUUAGUUUAUGAUAUUGUACAUAUCUUAUUGUGGAUCUAAAUUGCCUUGUAAACUCUUAUUGCAUUGAAUAACAUAGUGUAUGACUAAAGAAACCCCAACACGUUCAAAUUGAUUCCAUCAAUGGGGAAAAUAAGACAAUGGCUAUACUGAUUUCAUUUGUAAGUUUGAUUUGAGAUCUACUACUCUUAUAUUUUUAAUGUCAUUGCUAUAUUGUAUAAUUACAAUACUUCCAUUAGUACAAUUCCAUUUGAAUUUGUUUCCACCAUUAUCACAUGCUAUGAAUUAUAUCAAACUUGGCUGCUUGUUUUUCAGUGUUUUAGGUGUUGGGACUAUGGUUGACUUUGGUUCACCUACUUUUAGAUAGCUAUCAUGUUGUAUCAAACUGAGGGAACGUAGGGUGGUGCUUGUGGCCAAAAAGAGAGUUCUAUGAUCUUGGUUUGUUCUUUGUUCUUAAGAUUAAGAUUUUCUUUAUACUUGAAUUUAAUGGCCAUGAUAUUCUUAAGACGAAUGAAUUCAGCUGUCACUGCUUGCAUAGACUUGCAGAAUUGUCUCCCUUCGUCAUUCUUGCUCCUUGUGUAGGGGAAUUCAAACUUAACAUUGAGUGCAACCGUGCCACCUUAUCCGGUCACAGGUGAAUCUUUGUACAUUGUGCUCGCAUGUGAAGUUAUUGAUCAUACUUUCCAUUUUAAUGUUCAUUAAUGUCAUGUUUUUAUAUUGAUGCAAAUACUGGUGAUCCUCAAGUUGGUAUGUGCAAAUUCUCUAUUAUGUAAUAAUUAAUGUAACUUCUGUUGGAAAUUAACUUGUCGCAAUAUAGGAAGUUGUCACGCAUAGCUGUUAUUCAAACAUGUGACGAUAUUGAAAAUGAAGAACAAACAUUACUUUUGUUGAA